AACGAAUUGUACUUGGAGUUGAUGCUGGCAGGCUUGGCUGCAUGUGCUCGCUCCUAACAAUCUUCAUCCAAACACCUGUGCACAUUUAGAGAGGGUCUCCGAGUCCUCCUUGGAGUCCCUUCCUCUCAUUACACACUUUAUUUCAAUGUUGAACGUGAUUGCGCCCUAAGGCCUUAAUAUUAAUACAACUUUUAACAACGGAUCUCUUAACUCUCGCAUCGAUGAAGAACGCAGCGAAAUGCGAUAAGUAAUGUGAAUUGCAGAAUUCAGUGAAUCAUCAAAUUUUUGAACGCACCUUGCGCUCCCUGGUAUUCCGGGGAGCACGCCUGUUCGAGUGUUGUGAAAUUCUCAAACCGGGAUGCUUUUUUUGUUUCUCGGCUUGGUGUUGGGCUUUGCAGUUCCUUUGAUUGGGAUGGCUGGCCUUAAAAGCAUUAGCUGGGUUUGCAGGUGGCAUUGGUUCUACUCAGCGUGAUAAUGAUCUGACCGCCGAGGACAUCUUUCGAGGUGGCCAAUUCUCAUUUGGGCUGCUUCUAAUUUUGGUAGAGCAGAUUCUGAAUCUGUUCCACUUUUCAGCUUUUGACCUCGAAUCAGGUGGGACUACCCGCUGAACUUAAGCAUAU
rnacentral:rRNA from 1 species